GACGAACGCUGGCGGCGUGCCUAAUACAUGCAAGUCGGACGAGUCGCGAAAGGGUGAGUAACGCGUAGGCACCUACCUAUUAAAGGGGGAUAACAAUUGGAAACGAUAGCUAAUACCGCCUACUAGUAGAUGGACCUGCGUUGUAUUAGCUAGUGGGUGGGGUAAUGGCCUCCCAAGGCAACGAUACAUAGCUGGCCUGAGAGGGUGAUCGGCCACACGGGAACUGAGACACGGUCCAGACUCCUACGGGAGGCAGCAGUGGGGAAUAUUGGACAAUGGGCGAAAGCCUGAUGCAGCCAUGCCGCGUGUAUGAAGAAGGCCUUCGGGUUGUAAAGUACUUUCAGCGAGGAGGCGGUACUCGCAGAAGAAGCACCGGCUAACUCCGUGCCAGCAGCCGCGGUAAUAC
rnacentral:rRNA from 1 species